rnacentral:rRNA from 1 species
CCCUUAGAUGUUCUGGGCCGCACGCGCGCUACAAUGAUGAAUUCAACGCGUUUAUAACCUUGGUUGAAAAGCCUGGGUAAUCUUUUGAACUUUCGUCGUGAUGGGGCUAGACCCUUGCAAUUAUUGGUCUCCAACGAGGAAUUCCUAGUAAACGCAAGUCAUCAGCUUGCAUUGAUUACGUCCCUGCCCUUUGUACACACCGCCCGUCGCACCUACCGAUUGAAUGGUCCGGUGAAAUCUUCGGAUUGAGACUUUGAUUUGUUUACUCAAAACGCUGUUUCAAGAAGUUGAUUAAACCUUACCAUUUAGAGGAAGGUGAAGUCGUAACA